rnacentral:ncRNA from 1 species
AACAAGGGCAAACCUGUUGAAAAGCAGGGACGCAAAGCCAAGGGUCUAAGGUUUGAAGACUAUGACAGCCGGUUGCCAC